UCUAAAUUUGAUUACAGAAUCGAGAGAUAUCAUGAUGGUAAACAAAUUGGAUCAGGUUCAUUCAGUUUCGUAUGGCAUGGAAGACAUCGCGUUCACAGUCAGGAAGUUGCUAUCAAAGAAAUCAUUAUGGAUCGAUUAUUUAAGAAACUACAUGACAGUCUUGUUUCAAUUCAAUUCCCCCCUUUUUUUUACUUGAAAUUCCCAAUUCGAAUAUUUUGUGGAUGCAUGAAUGAAUUGAUCAUCAGACACUGUGAUUAAAGUACAAGUAAUAAUCCUGAUUGAAAUAUUGCAAAUUGGUGGUUGGACUAAAUUACUUUCAGUAACCUUGAUUUUUUCAAGCAUAAGAAGAAGCAUUGUGUUGAUUACCUUGAAGAAGUUAGAUAGAGUUGUUCUAAGAUGAAUAACUACUAGUCUAAUUCACAAAAUUGAUGCUUGAUUUCUGCAAUUUAGGUCCAAGGGAGGUGAUCCCUCUAUGCAUAUCCAGCGCAAAAGGGAAAGUCGAUGAAGAAACAACAAAACACUUCAUCCAGCAACUGGGUAUUAAGGACUUCCAACAACUACCCUCUAUUUAGUCUUCCACUCCAUUCCAGUAGCACUUCUUCUUCAACAUUUUUGAAGAUAUGUGCAUAGUUCUUCAGUCGGUCCUAAAAGUAUAUUGAAUUCCUCUUUUACACGGUCCCAUAAUAUAAAUUGGGUACCUCUUUAACAAGGUCGCAUAAUAUAAAUUGGGUAUCUUUUCAACACUCUUGCAUAAUAUAAGUUUGGUACCUUUUUUUUUUGAAGUUGAAAAUAUUUAUUUAAAUUUAAAAGAGCUUAGAAGACAGACUCUUUGACGAUGUAUAGCAUUUUUGUUCAAUAAGAUAUACCUGUUUUUCCAAUGCUCAGGCUUUGAUGACAGUUAAGAUGUAGGUCUUAAUAGGAGUUGCCUCCAUAAUUCUGAUCAGGCGUGUUCUACAUUCUCGGGAAAGUCUACUUUUCUUACAAAAAUCUUGAUGUUUGAUUUCCUUUUCUUUCUCUAUUUUGAUCUAACAGCUAGUUUUUCAUUGUUGCUGCAUGAGAAGAAUUGUCUGGUAAGUCUGCAACUGUUGCUGCAAAGGCUGAGAAGGUUAGAAUUAUUUCAUCAAAUGUUUAGAAAUCUAUCCUACUUGCUUGACCUGGUGCCUUGUGUAUUUCUUUUCACUUGAUGAUUAAGCACUCAGUUGAGCUAGAAAAACAAAGCACCACUGAUAAAUCUAAAACUUUUUGCUUGAGGUUUUAAAGCCUAUUUUCCAUCCCGAAGGUAUAAAACUGCUUAUCCGCGAUUUUGGGUACUGCCAUGCCGGAGUAUAUCAUGUCAUUCUGGUACCUCAAACCAUGAACGAGAACUAUGGUGUAUAUAUUGUUUUAAGAAACCAAGUUGACUGGAAUGUAAAUGCAAGUAUUUGAUGAAUCACAUUCAUACGUAAACUACUUGUUGCUUUU